rnacentral:lncRNA from 1 species
UUCUCUGGGACUUCAGCGUGUAUGUAAAAUGUGAGCGUCGUUUGAAUUCUUGACUAAAAGAAGGUAUUGUAUUUAUGCGUUCCCAAAUAGUAAUGCCUUUAUGCAAUUAUGUCCGUGCUUGAGCUAAACUCCAGCUCCAGAGGCAACCCCGAGCUCUGUGGCCAGCCGCGUCCAUGCAGCACAAACCGGGGCCGUCGGCUGGCAGGACCCCGUGGGCAGCGCUGACGCUGCGCGGUUCAGCUGGUCUCUGUGGUCUGGUGCUGUGUGUGAGAGGCCUGUCAGCCCUAGAGCAACUGCACAUCUGUUUCUGCCGAGCAAUCACCUGUGUGUGAUGCAGAAAGCACAGGAGUGACUUCACUGUGAGCAACAAGAGCAAGAGCUGGGGUGAGCUGGACUCUGGGAAUCUAUGAAGAUGGACUACAUUUUUGGCAUAACAUCACUGACAAGAAUGUCUUGGGAGCUACAAAACAAUUUACAAAAUACACCAAGGAAAGCCUUUGAAAUACCUAAAGACAAACGCGGAUCAGUUACUUGUCCUGUAAGAUGCAAAGAGAGAGAGAGAGUGGUGCAUCACUGCUGUUUCCUGAAGCUGAAGUGUUGA